CAGUCGCCGCGGUAAUACGUAGGGUGCAAGCGUUGUUCGGAAUUAUUGGGCGUAAAGGGUGCGUAGGCGGUUUCGUAAGUCUUAUGUGAAAUCUCUGGGCUCAACCCAGAGUCUGCAUGGGAAACUGCGAGGCUUGAGGAUGGGAGAGGUGAGUGGAAUUUCCGGUGUAGCGGUGAAAUGCGUAGAUAUCGGAAGGAACACCUGUGGCGAAAGCGGCUCACUGGACCAUUUCUGACGCUGAUGCACGAAAGCUAGGGGAGCAAACAGGAUUAGAUACCCCGGUAGUCCCUGUCUCUUAUAC
rnacentral:rRNA from 1 species